rnacentral:rRNA from 1 species
UACGUAGGGGGCAAGCGUUGUCCGGAUUUAUUGGGCGUAAAGAGCGUGUAGGCGGCUAGAUAGGUCCGUUGUGAAAACUCGAGGCUCAACCUCGAGACGUCGAUGGAAACCAUCAGACUAGAGUCCGGAAGAGGAGAGUGGAAUUCCUGGUGUAGCGGUGAAAUGCGCAGAUAUCAGGAAGAACACCCGUGGCUAAGACGGCUCUCUAGUACGGUACUGACGCUGAGACGCGAAAGCGUGGGGAGCGAACAGG